GAUCAUUUAGGGAUGUCCUUUAAAAUGGAUGCUUAAGCCCUAUCCUUGGAGAUCCCACUAUAGGUAGUGUGUUGAGCCUGGACAGCUCAAGUUGACAAAUCUCUCCAAGGUAUUUUUUUUUUUUAUAUUAGGAUUGAACUCAUGGGCACACAACCACUGAGCCACAUCCCCAGCCCUAUUUUGUAUUUUAUUUAGAGACAGGGUCUCACUGAGUUGCUUAGUGCCUCAUUUUUGCUGAGGCUGGCUUUGAACUCGAGAUCCUCCUGCCUCAGCCUCACGAGCCGCUGGGAUUACAGGCGUGUACCACUGCACCCAGGUCCAGGGUAAUUUUGAUAGUUGAGUUUUGGAAACCACUGGCUUCUCCUGUGAAGAAGCCAAAGGAGAGAGAGAGAGACUGAGAGAGGAGAAAAAUGGAAGAUGACUCACUGGGAUGUGGCUGGCAGGGGCUUCCCUGUGCUAAGUUCCAGAAGGGUCAGUCUCCAAGGAGAACCAGCACCUCCACCUGGAGAUCUGGCCCUGGGCCAGGCACUGCCUGAGAUGGAAGUUUGGGACAUGAUCCGUUCCCUUGACAAAAAUAUGAUCCCAUACAGGGCCAGACAGUAAAUAUUUUAGGCUUUGCAAGUCACGUGGUCCCUGUCACAGCUACUCUGCUGUGCCACGGUAGUGCAAAAGCAGUCACAGGCCAUGUGUAAACGAGUGGGUGCGCCUGGGCUCCAGGGGAACUUUAUUUAUAGAGCCUGAACUUUACAUUUCAUCUCAUUUCCACUGUCACAAAAUAUUAUUCUUUUGUUUUUUCUCCAACCGCUUCAACACGUACAAACCAUUCUUAAUUCACAGGCCCUACAAAAACAGGUAGCAGUCCAGAGGCGGCUCAGGGGCUGUGGUUUACCAACUCUGACCUAGUGAAAGAGACGGGGCAGACACGUGGAAAAUAAGCUGUUGGGGACACGGUGGCCCCUGCCUUCCACCAAGAGAGACACCUGCAUUCCACGCACGCACGUGCACGCACGUUUCCAGGUCAGAGACCUGGGUUCCGAAUUCCAGCCCUGCCACUUCCUAGAGUACAACUCUGACCCCGUUUCCUCGUGUGGAAAACGGGAACAACAAUACCCACCGAAGAGCGAGGCUGGGACUGGUAAAGCAGAUAAGAGAGCUAAGUGGGAGUGAAACACCGUUUAGGUGUUUGCCCUGGAUAGCUGGACCCCCCUCGUGUGUCGCCGAGGAGACUAUCCUGAGCAAUGGAUGAGUAACGGGACCUGGGGGUGGCAAAGCUUAAGGAGACAGCAAGGACGGAGCACGCAUGCCCCUUCCAUCCAGCCUGCGGUCCUCCCUCUGCCCCCUCCACCCACGCAGAGGGCUGGUGUUGGGGAGGGCGACUGGGAACCAGCUGGGGAUGGAGCGCGUGCCCCCUGCUGCGGGGCCCUUGGUGACAGGGACAUAGUUCCUCAUGGGAGGGGCACCUGAUCCUACUCUCCCUGCUGCUAUUUACCAGAAGCUAAAAAUAACCCCGAGAGUGACAGGGAGAUGGGCCGAUUUGUAAUUUAAAUAGCAACAGGAUAAAGCAAGGAGCUGAAGAGAUCACAUUCUGUCCCGAAUUAAAAAUGC
rnacentral:lncRNA from 1 species